rnacentral:rRNA from 1 species
UACAGAGGUCUCAAGCGUUGUUCGGAUUCAUUGGGCGUAAAGGGUGCGUAGGUGGCGCUGUAAGUCGGGUGUGAAAUUUCGGAGCUUAACUCCGAAACUGCAUUCGAUACUGCGGUGCUUGAGGACUGGAGAGGAGACUGGAAUUCAUGGUGUAGCAGUGAAAUGCGUAGAGAUCAUGAGGAAGACCAGUUGCGAAGGCGGAUCUCUGGGCAGUUCCUGACACUGAGGCACGAAGGUCAGGGGAGCAAACGGG